GACUGCUGAUAAAUCCCGUCCGGACUCCUACGGGAGCCGGACUUCGCACCUUACUUUAAUUGCAGGAAGACUCCGCCCAGACUCCUACGGGAGCCGGGCUCCGUCCGCAACUCCAAUCACAGGGAGGACUCCACUCCGCCCAGACUCCUACGGGAGCCGGGCUUCGUCACCAACUUCAACUACUGGUAAUCUUCGUCCGGACUCCCACGAGAGCCGAACUUCAUCCUGACUUCGCCUACGGGAACCAAACUCCCGUAGCCUCGCUGAGAGCAGAGGAAAAAUUCCAGGCAAAAAAGAAAAAGGAAGGAGAUGGGCCACAUCAGCAA
rnacentral:lncRNA from 1 species